rnacentral:rRNA from 1 species
CCUACGGGACGCAGCAGUGGGGGAUAUUGCAUAAUGGGGGGAACCCUGAUGCAGCGACGCCGCGUGGGUGAAGAAGUAUUUCGGUAUGUAAAGCCCUAUCGGCAGGGAAGAAUUUAGACGGUACCUGACUAAGAAGCCCCGGCUAGCUACGUGCCAGCAGCCGCGGUAAUACGUAGGGGGCAAGCGUUAUCCGGAUUCACUGGGUGUAAAGGGAGCGUAGACGGCCAUGCAAGCCUGGAGUGAAAGCCCGGGGCCCAACCCCGGGACUGCUCUGGGAACU